AGAUUGCUUCUGUCAUAUCGCUUUGCUGUUUUGGAGUGUACUUAAAGGAUUAUGAUUGAUAAGGCUGUCUUGCCAGAGAAUGUUGACACAGGUGUGCAUCGUUAUCUUAAUUAAGAUCCUGAGAAAAUGUUGUCUAUAAAAUGGUGACAUAAGAAAGGCGGCAUAUUUUUGUACAGUUUUGCUUCUGGAGAAUUUAAUUGCACUAGAAAUCUGUCUUUGAGUUCCAGAUUUUGUGAGCACUUUGGCAGUAGAAGUUUGAGAGAAAUGAUAGUUCAUUGUUAAGUGUUCUGGCAUGUAUUGAUACUACUUGUGGCUUUUUUGGCAAUGCCUCUGUCUGCUUUCUUUGUGCUCCAUCUUUGUGGAAUAAUGGUUUCUGAUUUAGAAAGGAAAGCAUGAAUAACCUAGUAUGUUAUUAAGCAAACGUUUAUUAGUAUUCAGAAAAAAAUAUGUAGAGGAAGACAUGUUUAAUGUGCAGAAACAGGAAUGUAAUGAAAAAGUAAAUAUAUAAGAAAUUUAUGUCCCUUCAUUUUUUUAAAAAAGUCUCUUAGGAUGUUUUCAUGAUCUAAAACAUUUUCUUUUUUCUUCUCAAGUACUUAGCUACAUUGUUUAUGGAAUGCCUUGUUUUAUUUCCAGACACAGAAGAAAACUGUUUUAUUUCUUCCAAAAUGUGUUUCUGUAAAUUCGAAUUGAUGAGCAAGUGAAGACAGUGCAUUUAGGCUCUUAUUAGUUUAAGGAUCUGAAUCAUAACCUAGAUGACCACUAAAAUAAUAUUACUGUCCUUUACUUCAAAUCUCUGAAUGCCAAAACAAUAGCAAGACGUAUGCUGUUGAUUAUAUUACCCCUUGGCUUACCCAGCACCUAAUACCCUUCAACAUAAGUAUUGCAUUAAGAUUUCCCCCCCUCUCUUUGUAGCUCAUGAUUUCCUGGAAGCUGGCUGUCCAUCAGUGUGUAUGUAAGAUGUGUUAUGAGUAUGAUGCUUCCAUAAUACAUUUGGAUGUUUUCAGCUAAGUUCACAUCUGAACUAUGGGGUUCCUCCAAGUGUUGACUGAAAUUUGUCCUUGAGCAUCCCCUCGCUCAUCUAAUCUACUGUCCAUAAUGGAGCCACUGUACUGGCUUUUGGAAGGAGGAGAUUCUGAAGAUAGGGAGGUUGGCUUGCUGCUUUCUGCAGCUGUUGCAGGGAUUCCCAUGGAAUGGAGGACUCUGUUUUAUUCUGGAUGAGAUCUCUGAGCAUUUCUCCGCAUGCUUGUUCAGUGUCAAAAACCUAAUGUUGGUGUCCAAGAGUGAAUCUACAAUUCUUGAACAACAAAAAUCAAAAAUUAGAAAAUUUGUAUCAAAAAGAAAAGCUUCCAUCUUUUCAGGCUCUGCUGCUGCCUUGACUGUGCAAGUUAAAUUAAAAACAGAGUCAAAUCCUUUUAUAAAAUAUCAGUCUAUCAUUCAAUCAUUCUAUUUCGAAGAAUGUUUAUAAAGGCUUAAAUUGUGUUAUGGUAUUUAUGUAAUUUUUUUCCUUUUUAAGAAAAAUGAUAUACUUUUCUAGUCAAAAACAUCUACUCCCCAAACUAUAUAGAAGGAUGUUAAUGGAAUAAUGAAGGACUUUAUGAUGUCUAAUUAUAUAAUUGGGAAAUGGGUAAGCAACAGUAGUAGUAGCUAAAAUCAGUUUCUUCUAUUAAACAGCUAGUAUAGAGUUAAAAACAAAAAACUUCAAGAAGAAGACUCUGUAAUCUUUAAAUCAAAUGACACUUUUGGUUAACAUAAUAGGAAGAAGAAGCAUACCAAUCUCAGAUUCUUUUAUUCUGGCCUAGGUAGAGGUUGGAAGCAGCUGAAGAGCUGUUAACAUGUGGCCUGGAAAAAAAUUAUCUAAAAGUGAUUACUUGGAAGGCAGGUUACAUUUGCAGAACAAUUCAAUAUUAUGACCUUGACCAACUUUUACACUUCAUAUUACUUGGGUUAUUACUCCAGCUUUUAAAAUAUCAAUCUAUGGUAUAGCUUGUGUAUGGAAUACAAGGGUAUUUUUGAAUUGACUAAGUCUUGCUCGUCAUUCUAAAUUGUGCUUCAGUAUUACAAAGUUGAAAUGUAAUAUUUAUUAAUAGAAGGAAAAUAUAAAAUUUAAUAUCUGGGCAACUGAGACCUUUAAACCUAUUUUAAAAGUAUAAUCUUGACAUCUAUGACACUAUUUUUUUGUCUUUGAAAUAUAGAUAGAAUAAUGGAUUAUUCUAAAAUUCAGAUGUUUUAUUUAUUAAUUCCAAGUUUUAUUCUCUAUAAUGGACUUUUAAAAUAAAAGGAAUAUGUGCUUUA